rnacentral:rRNA from 1 species
UGGGGAAUUCUGGACAAUGGGCGAAAGCCUGAUCCAGCCAUGCCGCGUGAGUGAAGAAGGCCUUCGGGUUGUAAAGCUCUUUUAGUCGGAAAGAAAGAGUUGCAAUGAAUAAUUGUGAUUUAUGACGGUACCGACAGAAAAAGCACCGGCUAACUACGUGCCAGCAGCCGCGGUAAUACGUAGGGUGCGAGCGUUAAUCGGAAUUACUGGGCGUAAAGGGUGCGCAGGCGGUCUUGCAAGUCAGAUGUGAAAGCCCCGGGCUUAACCUGGGAAUUGCGUUUGNAACUACAAGACUAGAGUGCAGCAGAGGGGAGUGGAAUUCCAUGUGUAGCAGUGAAAUGCGUAGAGAUGUGGAAGAACACCGAUGGCGAAGGCAGCUCCCUGGGUUGACACUGACGCUCAUGCACGAAAGCGUGGGGAGCAAACA